GCUGGAAUGGCGGAAUUGGCAGACGCACGGGACUCAAAAUCCCGCGACCUUUACCGGUCAUAAGGGUUCGACUCCCUUUUCCAGCACCA
rnacentral:tRNA from 1 species